rnacentral:rRNA from 1 species
GACGAACGCUGGCGGCGUGCUUAACACAUGCAAGUCGAACGGAAAGGCCCUGCUUUUGUGGGGUGCUCGAGUGGCGAACGGGUGAGUAACACGUGAGUAACCUGCCCUUGACUUUGGGAUAACUUCAGGAAACUGGGGCUAAUACCGGAUAGGAGCUCCUGCUGCAUGGUGGGGGUUGGAAAGUUUCGGCGGUUGGGGAUGGACUCGCGGCUUAUCAGCUUGUUGGUGGGGUAGUGGCUUACCAAGGCUUUGACGGGUAGCCGGCCUGAGAGGGUGACCGGCCACAGUGGGACUGAGUUCGGGCCCAGACGCCUACGGGAGGAAGCAGGGGGGAAAAUUGAAAAAGGGGGGGAGGCCUGAUGCAGCAACGCCGCGUGGGGGAUGGGGGCCUUCGGGUUGAAAACCGCUUUCGCCUGUGACGAAGGGGGGGGGAGGGUAAUGGGUAAAGAAGCACCGGCUAACUACG